rnacentral:rRNA from 1 species
AAUCAACGCGGGCGGCGUGCCUAACACAUGCAAGUCGAACGCGAGAGGGGCUUCGGCCCCGAUUGAGUGGCGAACGGGUGAGUAACGCGUGGGUGACCUACCUUCGAGUGGGGGAGUAACGUCCCGAAAGGGACGCUAAUACCGCAUAACAUCCUGCUUUUGAAUGGGUGGAGAUCAAAGCCGGGAUCGCAAGACCUGGCGCUUGAUGAGGGGCCCGCGUCUGAUUAGCUAGUUGGGAGGUAACGGCCCACCAAGG